rnacentral:rRNA from 1 species
AUGCUCAUUGCUCAGACUGAGGACAAGAUUAGGUUGCUGUGCCAAGAUGAUGGCAUAUCAGUGAUGACAUACGUGGCAGAACUGCAGGCUUUGUGGGCUGACCAGGAUAACUGUGAUCCCCUGGAACUCUAUGACGCGGCUUCAAUCGAGUCAGGGCACAAGUGGAUGGCACGCAGGCGUGUGCUGAAAUUUUUGGCUGGCCUCAAAAGUCUUUGA